rnacentral:rRNA from 1 species
UUGGAGGGCAAGUCUGGUGCCAGCAGCCGCGGUAAUCCCAGCUCCAAUAGCGUAUAUUAAAGUUGUUGCAGUUAAAAAGCUCGUAGUUGAAUUUCGGGAUUGGCGCAUCGGUCGUGCCUCACGGGGUUAUGAACUGGUGCAGUCAAUUUCUCACCUUCUGGAGAACCGCGAUGUCCUUAAUUGGAUGCCGCGGGGAACCGGGACCUUUACUUUGAAAAAAUUAGAGUGUUUAAAGCAGGCAUUUUUGCUUGAAUACAUUAGCAUGGAAUAAUAAAAUAGGACGGCAUGGUUCUAUUUUGUUGGUUUCUAGGACCACCGUAAUGAUUAAUAGGGAUAGUUGGGGGCAUUAGUAUUCAAUCGUCAGAGGUGAAAUUCUUGGAUUUAUUGAAGACUAACUACUGCGAAAGCAUUUGCCAAGGAUGUUUUCAUUAAUCAAGAACGAAAGUUAGGGGAUCGAAGACGAUCAGAUACCGCCGUAGUCUUAACCAUAAACUAUGCCGACUAGGAAUCAGACGAUGUUAAUUUUUUAAUGACUCGUUUGGCACCUUACGGGAAACCAAAGUGUUUGGGUUC